rnacentral:rRNA from 1 species
AUUUGUCUGGUUAAUUCCGAUAACGAACGAGACCUUAACCUGCUAACUAGUUCUCAAUACUCUGUAUUCUGCAACUUCUUAGAGGGACUAUGUAAAUCAAUUACAUGGAAGUUUGAGGCAAUAACAGGUCAGUGAUGCCCUUAUAUGUCCUGGGCUGCACGCGUGCUUACACUGAUGCAUACAACAAGUGCCUAGCCAGACAUGGUAUGGCAAUCUCGAAUAUGCAUCGUGAUGGGGAUAGAUCUUUGCAAUUAUAGAUCUUGAACGAGGAAUUCCUAGUAAGUGCAAGUCAUCAUCUUGCAUUGACUAUGUCCCUGCCCUUUGUACACACCGCCCGUCGCUCCUACCGAUACCGGGUGAUCCGGUGAACCUUUUGGACUCCGUAUGGGGGAAGAUAAGUAAACCAUAUCACCUAGAGGAAGGAGAAGUCGUAACAAGGUUUCCGUAGGUGAACCUGCRGAAGGAUCA